CUCUCUCUAACCCUAGAAACUCUGGCGACGUCACCGCCGUUCCUGCCGGUCACCACACGCCGCCGCCGUCCCUACCCAUGCCCACGUCGUCCAUCUUCUAGGAUGCAUUUGUUGCUGAGCAGCUGUUUCAAGGCUCAGAAAAUUCUUCAUAACUGGGACUGAUUCUUGUUUCCUGAAGUUGGCACAGCGGUGAUCUCUUUAUAUAGCCUUUAUUUCAGUACUGGGGACAGAAUUAACUUGUUACUGGAUCCUUCAACAAAAAGCAUCUUGUUGGAAGAGGGUGACCUCAUUGAUGUAAAACUUACUCCAAACAAGUUGUGGAUACUCAGAGAAAAUGGAUUGGUCAUAAAGGGGUUGUUUUGUCAGGACGGGAAAGAGGAAUUAGCUUAUUGCUAUUCUUUACAGGAUGCAUUUGUUGCUGAGCAGCUGUUUCAAGGCUCUGAAAAUUCUUCAGAUGAUCUACUUUGGUCCAAAAACAUUAUUCGAAGUUCGGAUGUACUCAAGAAAUGUAAGGAUGCUAAGCUCA